GUGAUCUUGAGGUCUUGGAGAAGAUCAGCUGGAGGGGGCUUUCGGUAGAGGGUUCCCAUGAUAGUUAAUUAUGUUGAUUGGUGGGUGAUGUUUGUGUUUCGGGAAAAAGGCUGUUAUAUAUGUGGAGAGAGAUGUGAAAUUAGUUUGAAUGCAAAAAUUAGGGAGUUAAUGUAGGCAAAUUUUGGUCGAAUUUUGAGAACUCGGGUAAGAGAUUAGCAUUUGCCAAAGAACAAGAACAUGAAAAGGUAACAAGGUAGGACCUCACCAUGUUUGUAUGAUGAUGAAGUCUCAUUUAUAAAGUGGUUGAGAAGGUUUUCUGUAUUUAUCAGCAUAUAUGCUGCUGCACAUUUUAGGUGAAGAUAUUAACCUAUAUAUACAUUGUAGGAUUGAUCAAUCGACAUAAAUGUGGCACAUAAUUGCUGAGAAAGAG
rnacentral:misc_RNA from 1 species